AAAACUCAUCAAUUUCACAAGUCUAAUUCUUACAAGUCAUUGAAAAAAAUAUCAAAGUUCAUAGAAAAAAUGUCUCAAAAUGCUUCAACUGUUAGGGUUUCAUUAUUUUGGGAUGGAGAUAUCGUUAAGGAUAAUUACUCCGUUCGUUAUAAUAUCAAACCAAAAGCCCAUGUUAAAUUUCGAACAACUUUAAAUUAUGAAACACUAGUCAGUUACUUGCAUAAAAGAAUGAAAACUAUACCCACUUAGUUUGGAAUCUCAAUAACAGGCAGAUAUCCACAAAAAAUAUCAAACAGUGUAGUGCGUUAUGGCAUGCACAAUAUCAACGACGAUGAAUCUUUGAGUGAUUAUUUGGGAUCGCCGGAAGAAUAUAAUGAUUUAGUAUCCAUUAAUGUUCUUGAGAUGUAUGUUGAAAAGAUACCUCGAGAAGAAGUCCCUCCAGUCCAGCCUAUUCAUGGUAACACUAUUGGGGACUUUAGUUCUUAUGGAGCCAUUUUGAGUGGUCAAGUGUCGCUCAAAAAUCUAAGCCAGCAAUUUAAUCAAGCUUAUGAAAAUUGGUAAAUAUGCAUUUUUAUAUUAUUAUUGUGUGUAGUAGCACGUGUUUGUUGUAUGAAUCGGUAAAUAACCAUUUUUCAAAUCUUUAUAGGAACUAUUCUCAAAACUCGCCAGUGGUACCAAAUAGGGAUGUUGGUGAAUCCUCUCAGUUCGGUGGAGUUGAUCAUUCUCCACACCAUGACAAUGCUUAUGAACAACAGAGGAGGAAUGCACUUGAUAAUGAAGAUUUUCCAAAUUAUUAUGAGUCAUCAUCAAGUGAUGACGAUGAAAUAGCUAAUAAUAUAGAGGUAACCGAUGAUGAUGAUGUUCAAGUUGGUAUGACCAAAAAUAUUCCUCAAAGUCAAAACCAACAAAAACCAAUGCACCACCACGUACCACCACCGAUGGCGGAAAGCCCAACUUUUGAAAGCCCAAUCAGUGGCAUUCUAACAAUAGUGCUUAUCUUGACAGCCUGCAAGGUCGUGAUGAUGCAUUUGUCUUCACAAGAUAAGAUGAUCAUAGACGCCUAAAAACCUGGAUUGAACCAAAGGAUCUCAACAGAGAUCAAUGCUACCUUGCAAAAGGAAUGUUGUUCGCAUUCAAAAAGGCGUUGCAACGGGCUGUCAAAAUUUAUUGUUUUAAGGACAUAAGGGAGUUUAAGGUUGAUCAGUCAAACACAAAGAUAUGGAGGAUAGUUUGUAGACGACGGUAUCAAGGCUGUGAGUGGUUGCUUCGGGGAAUUGUCAAGCCUGAUGGUAUGUGGGCUAUCACAAAUUCCGCCAAAAACACACUUGUGAUAUGGAAGACAAUCGAGCAGAUCAUUAUAAUUUAGAUACAAACAUGAUUGCUCAAGUGUUACUUAAAGACGUUGCCGCAACGCCAAGGAUCCGCAUCAAAGAUUGCAUUAGAAACGUUCAAACCGCAUAUGGUAAAACUAUAAGCAACAGAAAGGGAUUUCUCGGGUGUAGACGCGCUUUUGAGAUGAUCUUUGGAAAUUGGCAUACCUCUUUUCAAUCGCUGCCAAGGUAUGUGGAGGCUCCGCAACAUUUUAAUGCUGGUACUGUUGUAGAGUGGCGGCUUAUAGAGGUUAAAAUUUUCAACUUCGUAUUUUGGACAUUCAAACCAUGUAUUGUUAGGUUUGCUCACUGCCGGCCAGUGAUAUCCAUAGAUGGCACACAUGUAUAUGGUGCAUACGACAUCAAGCUCCUAAUUGCAGUAGGAAUGGAUGCCAAUGGGUCAAUAUUCCCUCUUGCUUUCGCAAUUGUCGCUAACGAGAGCAACGACACAUGGGGGUCUUUUUGACCCAUUUGAAGACUCAUGUUAUUAAGGAUCGUACGGGCAUAUGUGUGCUGUCUGAUCGUCAUAAAGGCAUAUUGCACAAUAUGGAUAAUUUACCGGGGUGGCAAUCUCCCCUUGUUUACUAUCGCUAUUGUUUAAGGCACUUGAAGGAAAAUUUACAAUCAAAGUUUCACAAUGACACUCUAAACAAAUUGAUGUGGGGGGCUGCGAUGGAGCAUCAACAAAGAAAAUGGGCUGAAAAAAUGGAUCUGAUCAGGGCAGUUAGUGAACCCACAUACGUUUGGUUGAUGAAGCUAGAAAUUGAAAAAUGGACGCUUCAUGCUGAUGGUGGCAAAAAAGAGGGCAUGCUCACAACAAACAGCUCAGACCAAUGGCUUGCUGAAAUCUGCUCGGGGACUACCUGUCACCGCAAUGGUGAGAAUGACUUUCAAGCAGGUUGUGGAGCGAUUUGUGGUUAGGACAAGGCAGGACGGAGCAAUAUUAGCCGAAGGCGGGACAUGGAUGUCAAAGCCCUCCAAUAAGAUGGAGCAUUAUAGAAAAAAAUGUUAGCUUCACCAAAUGACCGAGCAUGACCCCAUUCAAUGUGUGUAUGAAGUUAGGACGGGUUAUUACAAUUAUAAGGGUGUAAACAUGCAUACCGUUUAUGAGGCAACAAGAACAUGCACUUGUGGUAAGUGAUAAACGUACCACAUACCGUGUUCUCAUGCUGUAAAGUGCUUCGAGAGAAUGAAAAAAACGGUAACAAGUUAUGUGGCGGGGAAAUACAAGGUCCACAGUGACCUUAGAGUAUAUUCCGGCUAAUUCCACCCACUUGGUAAUGAAGCUUAUUGGCCAAACGAGCCAUUUUCGAUGGUUGCUAACAAGGAUUACAUCAGGAAAUUGGGCAUUUACUCACGGAGUCGUAGACCCAAUCAAAUGGAUGUUAGUGAAAGAACUUACUCUCGCAAGUGCUCUACAUGUAAGCAAUAUGGCCAUGACAAGCGUUCGUGUGGGCAACAAGGCCGUGGUGGUACAAGCACGUCUCGAAGUAAUAGAAACUCUAGAACUUGAAGAUUGUAUUGUUACUGUAAUUUAGUAUUGUAUUGCAUUGAAUUAGUAUUGUAAUUUAAUGGAAUGAAUUAUUUUGGAAUAAG